UACGUAGGUGACAAGCGUUGUCCGGAUUUACUGGGCGUAAAGAGCGCGCAGGCGGUCGUUCAAGUCGAGUGUGAAAGCCCCCGGCUCAACUGGGGAGGGUCAUUCGAUACUGAUCGACUCGAAGGCAGGAGAGGGAAGUGGAAUUCCCGGUGUAGUGGUGAAAUGCGUAGAUAUCAGGAGGAACACCGGUGGCGAAGGCGGGUCUCUGGGCCGAUACUGACGCUGAGGAGCGAAAGCGUGGGGAGCGAACAGG
rnacentral:rRNA from 1 species